rnacentral:rRNA from 1 species
UACGAAGGGGGCUAGCGUUGCUCGGAAUCACUGGGCGUAAAGCGCACGUAGGCGGCUUCUUAAGUCAGGGGUGAAAUCCUGGAGCUCAACUCCAGAACUGCCUUUGAUACUGAGAGCUUGAGUCCGGGAGAGGUGAGUGGAACUGCGAGUGUAGAGGUGAAAUUCGUAGAUAUUCGCAAGAACACCAGUGGCGAAGGCGGCUCACUGGCCCGGUACUGACGCUGAGGUGCGAAAGCGUGGGGAGCAACAGG